rnacentral:rRNA from 1 species
UACAGAGGUCCCGAGCGUUGUUCGGAAUUACUGGGCGUAAAGGGCGCGUAGGCGGCCUGCUAAGUCGAACGUGAAAUCCCCGAGCCCAACUCGGGAACUGCGUCCGAUACUGGCAGGCUUGAAUCCGGGAGAGGGAUGCGGAAUUCCAGGUGUAGCGGUGAAAUGCGUAGAUAUCUGGAGGAACACCGGUGGCGAAGGCGGCAUCCUGGACCGGCAUUGACGCUGAGGCGCGAAAGCCAGGGGAGCAAACGGG